GACGAACGCUGGCGGCGUGCUUAACACAUGCAAGUCGAACGGAAAGGCCCUGCUUUUGUGGGGUGCUCGAGUGGCGAACGGGUGAGUAACACGUGAGUAACCUGCCCUGGACUUUGUGAUAACUUCAGGAAACUGGGGCUAAUACCGGAUAGGAGCUCCUGCUGCAUGGUGGGGGUUGGAAAGUUUCGGCGGUUGGGGAUGGACUCGCGGCUUAUCAGCUUGUUGGUGGGGUAGUGGCUUACCAAGGCUUUGACGGGUAGCCGGCCUGAGAGGGUGACCGGCCACAUUGGGACUGAGAUACGGCCCAGACUCCUACGGGAGGCAGCAGUGGGGAAUAUUGCACAAUGGGCGGAAGCCUGAUGCAGCAACGCCGCGUGCGGGAUGACGGCCUUCGGGUUGUAAACCGCUUUCGCCUGUGACGAAGCGUGAGUGACGGUAAUGGGUAAAGAAGCACCGGCUAACUACGUG
rnacentral:rRNA from 1 species